rnacentral:rRNA from 1 species
CCUACGGGAGGCAGCAGUAGGGAAUAUUGCUCAAUGGGGGAAACCCUGAAGCAGCAACGCCGCGUGGAGGAUGAAGGUUUUCGGAUUGUAAACUCCUUUUGUUAGAGAAGAUAAUGACGGUAUCUAACGAAUAAGCACCGGCUAACUCCGUGCCAGCAGCCGCGGUAAUACGGAGGGUGCAAGCGUUACUCGGAAGCACUGGGCGGAAAGAGCGCGUAGGCGGGAGAGCAAGUCAGAUGUGAAAUCCUAUGGCUUAACCAUAGAACUGCAUUUGAAACUGUUAUUCUAGAGUAUGGGAGAGGUAGGUGGAAUUCUUGGUGUAGGGGUAAAAUCCGUAGAGAUCAAGAGGAAUACUCAUUGCGAAGGCGACCUGCUAGAACAUAACUGACGCUGAUGCGCGAAAGCGUGGGGAGCAAACAGGAUUAGAUACCCGAGUAGUC